rnacentral:ncRNA from 1 species
GGCCUACUGUUUGCAAACCCCUCCACACAGGCAAUCAACGCCGAUUGCCCACUUCACGACAAAGGCGCCGU